CAGGAUGAACGCUAGCUACAGGCUUAACACAUGCAAGUCGAGGGGCAGCAUGGGAUAGCUGCUAUUCAGAUGGCGACCGGCGCACGGGUGAGUAACGCGUAUCCAACCUUCCUGCCAGUAGGGAACAGCCCGGCGAAAGUCGGAUUAAUGCCCUAUGUUCUUCAAUGCGGACAUCUAAGUUGAAGGAAAGAUUCAUCGCUGGCAGAUGGGGAUGCGUCCGAUUAGCUUGCCGGCGGGGUAACGGCCCACCGGGGCGACGAUCGGUAGGGGUUCUGAGAGGAAGGUCCCCCACACUGGUACUGAGACACGGACCAGACUCCUACGGGAGGCAGCAGUGAGGAAUAUUGGUCAAUGGGCGUAAGCCUGAACCAGCCAAGUAGCGUGCAAGGAUGACGGCCCUACGGGUUGUAAACUGCUUUUAUGCGGGGAUAAAGUGCGGCACGUGUGCCGCUUUGCAGGUACCGCAUGAAUAAGGACCGGCUAAUUCCGUGCCAGCCGCCGC
rnacentral:rRNA from 1 species